CUGGAAUGAUGUUAAUUAGCCAAAUCAAACAAUAAUGUGCUCCAUGACGCAACCGACUUUAUCCGUUUGGAUCAUGUUGAUGACUCUCAUGUUGAAGCGCAUUUCUCUGAUGAUAAACAAAGAGAUUGGUUUUUCUAUUCCUGACCAGA